UACGUAGGGGGCAAGCGUUGUCCGGAAUCAUUGGGCGUAGAGAGCGCGUAGGCGGUCCGGUAAGUCCGCUCUGAAAGUCCGGGGCUCAACCCUUGAAAGCCGGCCGAUACUGUCGGACUAGAGUCCGGAAGAGGCAAGUGGAAUUCCCGGUGUAGCGGUGAAAUGACGCAGAUAUCGGGAGGAACACCAAUGGCGAAGGCAGCUUGCUGGGACGGUACUGACGCUGAGGCGCGAAAGCGUGGGGAGCAAACAGG
rnacentral:rRNA from 1 species